AAUCAUUUAAGUGUAAUGGUAUUUGUGAUAACGUAAGGGAAAAAAAUGAUGUCACCUUACUAUAAGUGUUGUCCAAAUAACUGGUGCCAGAAGACUCGGUAAGACCAGAAACGCAAACGUUAGUCGUCUUAAUAAGGCGUAAAGGGUGUGUAGGCUGCUUUGAAAGUUCAACAUUUAAAAUAGCUCUGUCUAUAUUAACAAAAUUUAGUUUAUUUUUAUUUUAUUUUAUUUUAAUUUAAGAAGAAAUAAAUUUAUAUAUAUUUGUUAAAUACAGUAAAUAUUGGAUUAAUUAAAGCUAGAAUCUUAUAGAGGAUAAACCGAAUAAUGCUUAGAGAAGGGCUGAUAUUCUAAAAAACUAAGUGGAAUACUAAAGGUGAAAGCUUUUUAUCUACUAAAGAUUGACGCUGAGAAACGAAGGUGAGGAUAGGAAAUAGGAUUAGAUACCCAGGUACCCCUCACUGUCAACGAUGAAUGGUAGUUUGUUAGUUUAUUAGAAACUGGUAACAAUGUUAACGCGAUAACCAUUCCGCCUUGAGAGUACGGUUGCAAAACUGAAACCAAAAAAAUUAGUCGGUCUCG
rnacentral:rRNA from 1 species